GGUGCAUUAGCUCAGCUGGUAGAGCAACGUCCUCUUAAGUCGUGGGUCAUUGGUUCAAGUCCAAUAUGCAUCACGU
rnacentral:tRNA from 1 species